AUAUGGUGUGAUAUCUGAACUUCAGUGAGCUUGUAUGUCUAUCACAAUGACAUAUCCAAACAUACUAUGUGUUGAGCCUGGACGUACAGGAUGUUUAUUUAGAGCAGGUGCUACCUACGCGAAUCAGAGUGUUACGUGAAUUCGUAAACGUUCAGCUUUAUAAGCUUACAGACAGAAAUAAUUAGAAUAGGUUACAUUAAAACUCCUGUGAUCCAUCUUUUCAGGCAACUAAAAUUUUUGGAGGCUAGGGUAACUAAACAAAUUACUACCUCGCUAUGUUAGAACACACGCACACCUUUUCAGCUGAUUGUUUCAGAAGCUUGCCAGUAGGCUGUUAAUUUUUGGAAUCAAACAAACUCAUAGACAAUGUCAGUUGUAACUUUUAACGUCAACGGACGGACAGGAACUUAGUCCUAACAAAUAAAACUUUGACGUGGCUUUUAUCCGAUGUUGAUAAUAUUUAUGUUGGAUCUAAAUAAGCUGGAGAGCACCAGGCAUACCAAGUUUUGCCGAGGUUCAUUAAGUCGAUAUCGAAAUACACGCACUGCCCAUUUUACAAAAUUUUACUUGCGUCAUAUUUAUGUUUUUGGGUGCAUCAUUUGUAUAAAACUUUUGCUCGAGUUAUCGUGUACGAGGGUGGACGGACAAACAUGGCUAAAUCGACUCCUCUCAUCACUCUGACCCUUCUGGUAUACAUAGAUACAUUUGUCUACAUCUAUCUUAAUUCCUGCAUGCUGUUACAGAAAAUAUUUAAGUGAACAAAAAAUACAGUUACACAUUCCAUACAAAUAUAGAUAUAUAGAAUUUAUAGAGAA